rnacentral:lncRNA from 1 species
AUUCCACCUUGCCUAGGCAGCGCCAAAGCACCUUCUCUGAAAGCUGUUAAGUGAAGGCUGUGACUUCAGCCCCUUAGAUUCAGACUCAGUUGAUCUUCCUGUGCUGAGACCCUCUAGCAGAAUCACAACAGAGAGACACGUGACCUCUGGACACUAUGCUGAGCCCCGAGCAUGGAUUGCCUGGAACACUUCAUUACUUGAAACACAGAGCAAGAAGCAGAAGUUACAAAUCAGGUGUUCUCUUUAAGAAGCUGUAUGGAGAGUUUGUCCUUACACUUGAAUAGUUGCUUCAUUACCUCCCUUAUCUCAGAAGGACAUGCACAGUAAGGUUAUGAAGAACUGGCUUCCAAAUAAUAUUAAGAGCAAGUCACCUAGACUGGAACCAGCAGGUCCAUAUGGCAGACCAGGGACAGCGGGAAGAACACCUAAGUGGAACCCUGAAGCUACUUCCCACUCUGUGACUUUAGGGUCCAUAGAAUUAUGGACCUGGAUACUGGAUGGCAGAUGUGAAAUCCCUUCUUCUUAUUCAAUGCUUAUGCAAAUAUGUGCUAUUGUCAUUGCAAACAUGGUAUGUGCCCUGGAGGGGAACAAUGACUCCAUUAAAUUUUCUGGCCCUGGAAUUCCGUAAAGGAAGUAGUCCAUGGCCCUAGCCCAGGUUUUUCAGCCUCCACACUAUUGCCCAGUAGGCCCUGGAGAUGCCCUGUGUGGGGCCCUGUGCCCAGAGCGGCAUCCCUGGGCUCCACCCUGCAGGUGCCCUGGAUAUCAGCAGAAACUCCCACCAAGUCCUGACAAUAGAAAGUGUCUCCAGACAUGCCCAAGUGUCCCUCGGGGGCAAAACCACCAGUUUGGGAGACCCUGCCUAGGAAAGGUUUUUGUCUUGCUUUUUGUAGAGAGGCCACACAGUGAGAGGCUUCUCAGAAAGAAGGCGCAGUUCCCAGUGCUCAUUAACCUACAGAUUCAAUGACCAAUUCACUGCAGAGGGCAUCCAAAGGUUCUCGAACACAGAAGUUAGGAAAUGACCAUGAGAUAACAAACGGGGCUCUAUUUUGUAAAGGGGGUGCAGCCCGAUUUGGGAUUGCUAAUAAAAGACAAGUAAGUC